UACAGAGGUGGCAAGCGUUGUUCGGAAUUACUGGGCGUAAAGGGCGCGUAGGCGGCCAUCUAAGUCAGACGUGAAAUCCCCCGGCUCAACCUGGGAACUGCGUCUGAUACUGGAUGGCUUGAAUCCGGGAGAGGGAUGCAGAAUUCCAGGUGUAGCGGUGAAAUGCGUAGAUAUCGGGAGGAACACCAGUGGCGAAGGCGGCUUUCUGGUCUGCUCUUGACGCUGAGGCGCGAAAGCUAGGGUAGCAAACGGG
rnacentral:rRNA from 1 species